UUUUAAUUAAUCCAAUAUCUAAAUUAAGAUACGAAGACAUAAAUGAGUGAGAAUAUGCAGGCAUACGUCAAAAUGGUUUAGAGAACAUUAUAAAAAAUAAGCUGAAAAGACCUAUUCUACAUAAUAAUUAUAACACGUAGCUCUAAUCAAGAAAAUAUAAAAACGUCAACAAGAGCCAGCUGGAGUAUUUCGGACAUGUAAUGAGAGGUAUCAGAAAUAUAGGUUGCUACAAAAUAUUAUGCAAGGUUUACAUGGAUAUAAUGCAUCGUUGAAGAACUUGCGAGAUUGGUAUGGUAUUGAUACAUGCAUGUUAUUUAAGCUGGCAGUGAAUAAAAAUAAGAUAGCUAUGAUGGUAACCAACCACGAACUUUCUGAAAGUACAUGGAACAUGACGAUGAUGUACUUAGUUUUAAUUUAAGAUAACUUACGUAUAAAUCACACUAAAGUCUAGAGUCUAGAAUAUAUGGUUGGUUGAGUUCUUGUGGCGAGCAAAUACAACAAACUAUAGUAGCAGCACGACUAAAAAGACAGUAAAAAAAACAGGAAAAAGUAUGGAAUACUGUUUGGGUUUGCAAGAUAUAUAAAUUUGUUUGUAAAUAAAAAAAAUUGUGGGAACUAAAAUCAAUUUUAUUGAACUUAAUGAAACUUUAAUAUUCUUAUUCAUGAUUUAUUUUAUUUGAAUAUCUAUUUUUAUUUAGAGACUUACUUCAUCAUUAAAAGACACCAACUGGGGGCCAGCUGAUCCUGGUCAUAGAGAACUGUGGGAAAAACAUAUCGGCAUAACGAGUGAUAUAGCACAUCAAAAUCGUAGCCAAGGACAUGAGUUAAAACCAGUAUAAAUAUAUUUUAAGGCAUUUCUGUUGUAUAUAAAAAUAAAAUUUACAAAAUUUAAUAAAAAUAAUAAUUUACCUCUUCA
rnacentral:lncRNA from 1 species